rnacentral:rRNA from 1 species
UACGUAGGGUGCGAGCGUUAAUCGGAAUUACUGGGCGUAAAGCGUGCGCAGGCGGUUUUGUAAGCCAGAUGUGAAAGCCCCGGGCUUAACCUGGGAAUGGCAUUUGGGACUGCAAGGCUUGAGUGCGGCAGAGGAGACUGGAAUUCCUGGUGUAGCAGUGAAAUGCGUAGAUAUCAAGAGGAACACCUGAGGCGAAGGCGGGUUGCUAGGCUGACACUGACGCUGAGGAGCGAAAGCGUGGGGAGCGAACAGG